AGUGAACGCUGGCGGUAGGCCUAACACAUGCAAGUCGAACGGCAACACAGUAAGAGCUUGCGCUUACGGGACGCGAGUGGCGGGGGGGUGAGGAAUACGUCGGAAUGUACUUUUUCGGGGGGGAUAACGUAGGGAAACUUACGCAAAUACCACAUACUACCUACGGGUGAAAGCAGGGAAUCUUCGGACCUUGCGCUAUGGAGUGAGCCGAUGUCGGAUUAGCUAGUUGGCGGGGUAAAGGCCCACCAAGGCGACGAUCCGUAGCUGGUCUGAGAGGAUGAUCAGCCACACUGGAACUGAGACACGGUCCAGACUCCUACGGGAGGCAGCAGUGGGGAAUAUUGGACAAUGGGCGCAAGCCUGAUGCAGCCAUACCGCGUGGGUGAAGAAGGCCUUCGGGUUGUAAAGUACUUUUGUUGGGAAAGAAAAGAAGAAGGUUAAUACCCCGCCGCUCUGACGGUACCCAAAGAAUAAGCACCGGCUAACUUCGUG
rnacentral:rRNA from 1 species